rnacentral:sRNA from 1 species
UACAGCAGCAGUGCCAGCAGGAGCAGCUUCAGCAACAAUGUGAGCAGCAGUUGCUGCAACAGCAGCAAUGCCAGCAGGAGCAGCAGCAGCAGCAGCAGCAGCAGCAGCAGCAGCAGCAGCAGCGGAAAAGGAGAAAAAACAGAAGGAGCCGGCGGAGCAGGAAGAGCAAGAGGACCAGAAGGACCAGGAGAACCAGGAACACCAGGAGGAGGAGAAGAAGGAAUAAUGAGUGACUGUGUCUACAUGUGUGGGAGGAGUUUGCUGGGAAAGGAAUAUUGCUUCUUUGGAGAAAUGUAUACUCAAAGAUUUAUCGUUUAGACUCUCGUUGUGCUGCCAUCUGAGAAUUCAAGUUCAUUACUGAAACCAUGCUUCUUCUCAGCAUCAUCAGAAGAUCACAACAGACCGCAGAUCACCACUCUUAGCUGGUGGUAUUGUAAAAUCUCUUCAUUACUGACUUUCAUUUUUGCUUGCUUGUGUAUAAAAUUGAAUUUAAAUUUUAUAUUUUUCUCAUUUGCUUAAGGUUUGCUUAAGUCACAUUUAGACCUAACCAUAUUUUUAUUUCCUGCCAUGUUUUUUAAAUUAUAAAAGAUAUUUAAACACUGAAAUAUAUUUUAUAAUUUUGUAUUGAUUUUUUUUAUUUGCUUACAUUUCAAGUGUUAUCCACCAUCCUGGUUUCACCUCUGCAAUUCUUUAUCCCAUCCCCAUUUCCCCUGCUUCUAUGAGAGAACUCCUCAACCUACCCACUCACUCCCCGCUCAUUGACCUAGAAUUUCCCUCUGAUGAGGUACCAAGUCUCAAGAGGACUAAGGGCCUCCCCUCUCAUUGAUGCCAGAUAAAGCAAAAGGCAGUCUUCUGCUACAUAAGCAGCUGAGCUGUAGCCAUGGGUCCCCCCAUAUGUAUUAUUUGAUUGGUGGUUUAGUCCCUGGCAUCUCUGGGGGCCAGGUUGAUUGAUAUUGUUCUGUAUUUUUGUUAUUUAAAACAGUAUUUUAAUACAAAUAUUCAUUCAAUUAUAUUAUACCACUCCCUUAAGUUCUUCAGGUCCUCUCCUACUUUCCUACCAACUUUAAACACUUUGGCAAUUAAAAAAAAUGAUAAGAAAAUCCAGUAGAAAACAACUCCCUCAAAAUCAAGAAAAUAAAUCUACAUUCAAACAAUAAAAAAAUACCCAAAUGAAAAACAACAAAAAAUCAACAAAAUAAAAACAAAAUCACCAAAUUGUAUCCAUGUAAAAAAGCAUACUCAAAAACUCAGAAAAACUAGAUUUUAUGUACCUGAGUUGUUAUAUGUGAGUUCCAUUGUUAACCAUUACUUUAUUGAAGAUAUUUUCACUUUAUUUAUUUACUUAUUUAUUUUUAUUUAUACAUUCAUGAAUUCUUUUUUUAAACAAAGUUAGAGCACUGCUUGCUCUUCCAGAGGUUCUGAGCUCAAUUCCCUGUAACAACAUUGUGGUCCAUACCCAACUAUAAUAAGAUCAGGCAUACACACAGACAGACUAUUAUGCAUAAUAAAUAAAUCUAAAAAUAUCUUUAAAAAUAAAAUUAAACCAUCAAUAAUGUUAAUGAACUAAUCAAUACUGGUAUGGAAUUAUACCUGCCUCAAUGGUAUUAUAUAUCCUGUUUGCAGGAGAGGAUCUGCAAGUAGCUUCUGGGAACAUGCCCCAGUUAAUUCUGAUUGGUAAACAAAGGUGCUAGCAUCCAAUAGCUGGGGAGGAGAGAUGCAGGAUUUAAGGUUCCCAGGCUUGGGACCAUGAGGAAGAAGAAGGGCAGAAAGAUGAUAGGCCUGAGGAAUAUGCAGGGGAGAAAAGCAGAAUUAUCAUGUAAAAGGGACAGGAGAACAUGGCCCAGAGGGCUGCUCAACUAAGUGAAGAGCAACUAAAUCAGAACAAAUAAAUUUGUAAACAGUAACACAGUCUUAUCUGUGGGAGUUAGAUUCUAACAGCAAAGAGGUUAAGGAGUUGCUCAGAUAUUGUGUUGCUUAAGUCAUGUCAAAUGUAAAGGCUGUGUGUCUCUUUCAUUUGCAAAUAUAAACCAUUGGCAUGGGUAGUUAUGCCCUAAGAGAUUAGUUUAAAAAUUAGUACUACAACUAUGAUAAUGGCAUUGGACAAGAAAAAUCAACAGAAAGACGUGGGUCAAAAACAAGGCACAAGAAUGAGAGACCCACUUAUUUAUACACUUAGACAUCCUAUUAAAUUCCUUAAUUGGAAGUCAUCGAAUAUGUGAGAAGGACAUAAUACAUUAUAAAAGAUCCUGCAAUGUAGCAGUGUAAGUUCUACAUGGGCACUGACUUGACACCUCCACUUUAAUAAAAUUUCUAAGUACAGUCAUCCAUAAUUGGGCCUUAUUGUCGGUUUGAAGAGAGGACUCUAUAGUCUUGGCAACAAAUUGGCUUCUUUGGAAAUUUCUGCUAUAUUUCUGACAGACUUUUUGGCCCGUAACUUAAAUAAAUGUAAACCAGUUCCAGUACUGGAAGCUUUGUUUGGUAAGAAAUAAUGUCCAAUUGAGACACAUUAUUUGGUGAUUUCAUUUAGACCACACCCACACAGAUACACACCGGCACAUGCACACACAUACACACACAAACACACACACACACGCAUACACACACAUAUAUGUAUAUAUGUAUAUAUAAUUUAUAAUGUAUUGUUUCCUACUACCCCUCCAGUAAUCCUCUAGUAUCCCCUAACAUUGAGCUAUUCCUCCUGUAUUCCUUUCCACAAACCACUUUCCUUACGCUAGCUUUUUUCCCUGUUUUCUCUUCACUGUCUCCUCUCUUCUCCCAUUCCUGACUUGAUUCUAACCCCAAUCAGUUAAAUUUGUCUGGUCUCUUUCUUUUGUCAGAAUGUGCUUUAAAAACGUGUACAUUAUCUGAUAUUUAAGAAAAAAUGCCUAUUUACUUUACAUAAUGACUACCCUGAACACAGCAUCUGGGACAAUGUUCAAUGGAAGUGGCAACAAUUUGUAUCAGAUAAUUUUUAAAAUGGUCGAUAUACUGAGGUGUUUAGGAUCUGUAUUUAUCAGUUUUCCAUUUGUGUUUAUGGAAUUUCAUUUUUGUAACUAAUAUUUGAAUUAUUUUCACAAAUCAUGAAAGUGGCUAUGGAUUUUCAAAGAUUUUGAUUUUCUUUUACUGAACAUUGAAAUGAUCCUGUAGUUUUUUGUCGUUACAUGUAUCAAUGUAGUAGUCGUUUAUAUGCGCUCUUUAUAAAUGUUAAGGUAUUCUUACAUAUUUAGGUCACAUUUACAGUGUCACAGUAUAAAAGCUUUUAUAUCUGUUGGAUGGUUUCAACUGUACUUGUUAGUAUACAAAUUCAUUUUGUAUUUUUUUUGUUUUUCAUACAAUAUAGUUUAAUUACUGUCUUUCCACUUUCUAACUACUCCCAGAUUUUCCUGUCUCCCCACCAAUAAAAGUUCACCCACCCUUGCUUGUGUACAAGGUAACUAUCUCUGUGUUGUCUCACCCCUCCCCCAAAAAAUAAAUAAAAAACAAAAAAAUGACAAAAUAAAACACCCAACAAUGCAAAAAAGUACAAAAAUAAAAUAAAUCAAAUGCUCACA